rnacentral:rRNA from 1 species
CAGUAGCCACGGUAAUACGUAGGUGGCAAGCGUUGUCCGGAAUUAUUGGGCGUAAAGGGCUCGCAGGCGGUUUCUUAAGUCUGAUGUGAAAGCCCCCGGCUCAACCGGGGAGGGUCAUUGGAAACUGGGAAACUUGAGUGCAGAAGAGGAGAGUGGAAUUCCACGUGUAGCGGUGAAAUGCGCAGAGAUGUGGAGGAACACCAGUGGCGAAGGCGACUCUCUGGUCUGUAACUGACGCUGAGGAGCGAAAGCGUGGGGAGCGAACAGGAUUAGAUACCCCUGUAGUCCCUGUCUCUUAUAC